CCUGACUGCUAUCGGAUUGAUACUAAGCCAUGCGAGUCAUUGUAGCAAUACAAGGCAUACGGCUCAGUAACGCGUAGUCRACCUAACCUAUGGACGGGAAUAACCUCGGGAAACUGAGAAUAAUGCCCGAUAGAACACUAUACCUGGAAUGGUUUGUGUUCCAAAUGAUUUAUCGCCAUAGGAUGGGACUGCGGCCUAUCAGUUUGUUGGUGAGGUAAUGGCCCACCAAGACUAUUACAGGUACGGGCUCUGAGAGGAGUAGCCCGGAGAUGGGUACUGAGACACGGACCCAGGCCCUAUGGGGCGCAGCAGGCGAGAAAACUUUGCAAUGUGCGAAAGCACGACAAGGUUAAUCCGAGUGAUUUGUGCUAAACGAAUCUUUUGUUAGUCCUAGAAACGCUAACGAAUAAGGGGUGGGCAAGUUCUGGUGUCAGCCGCCGCGGUAAAACCAGCACCUCAAGUGGUCAGGAUGAUUAUUGGGCCUAAAGCAUCCGUAGCCGGCUCUGUAAGUUUUCGGUUAAAUCUGUACGCUUAACGUACAGGCUGCCGGGAAUACUGCAGAGCUAGGGAGUGGGAGAGGUAGACGGUACUCGGUAGGAAGUGGUAAAAUGCUUUGAUCUAUCGAUGACCACCUGUGGCGAAGGCGGUCUACCAGAACACGUCCGACGGUGAGGGAUGAAAGCUGGGGGAGCAAACCGGAUUAGAUACCCGGGUAGUCCCAGCUGUAAACUAUGCAAACUCAGUGAUGCAUUGGCUUGUGGCCAAUGCAGUGCUGCAGGGAAGCCGUUAAGUUUGCCGCCUGGGAAGUACGUACGCAAGUAUGAAACUUAAAGGAAUUGGCGGGGGAGCACCACAAGGGGUGAAGCCUGCGGUUC
rnacentral:rRNA from 1 species